GGGGCGUUAGCGCAGUUGGUAGCGCGUCACACUGGCAGUGUGAAGGUCAGGGGUUCGAAUCCCCUACGCUCCACCA
rnacentral:tRNA from 1 species